UGGUGCCGUUGUCGCCGCCGCCGCCGCCGCUGCCGCAGGAGCUGGAUGGGGGGCCGAGGCCAACCGGUGGCACCCAGAAGAGAGAGACGCGGCGGCGGCGACGCCGACACCCGCAGGACGAGUGUGCCGACCCGCCCGCGAGGCCAAGGAGGAGAGGCGAGGCCCGGCCCCCGCGGUCCCUGGUGUAGAGAACCCUCCGUCGCCGCCGCGGCCGGGUCUCUCAGAGCACUCGCCCUCAGGUCUCAUUCACAUUCAGGAACCCGCGUUGCGCCAUGUUCAAGAAACUGAAGCAAAAGAUCAGCGAGGAGCAGCAGCAGUUCCAGCAGGCGCUGGCCUCUACUCUGGCUUCCUCCAAUUCUUCAACGCCAACGAGAAUCAGGAGCAGGACGUCUUCAUUUACAGAGCAGCUUGAUGAAGGUACACCCAAUAGAGAGAAUGCAUCUAUCCAAGCCAUGAAAUCUCCCGACAGUGUUAAUGGAAGUGAACCCACAACUCCUCAGUCAGGUGACAUGCAGUCUUUUGCACAGAAGCUCCAACUCCGGGUGCCUUCCGUUGAGUCUUUGUUUCGGAGUCCAAUGAAGGAAUCUCUAUUCCGAUCUUCCUCUAAAGAGUCUUUGGUACGAACGUCUUCUAGAGAGUCCCUGAAUCGACUUGACCUGGACUCUUCUGCUGCCACCUUUGAUCCACCCUCUGAUAUGGAGAGUGAGACCGAAGAUUCACUAGGGAAUUUAGACAGUCUCAGCAAAGAACAUUUGAUCCAGUGGUUGCGAAGAAUGGAACGAAGGUUGAAUGGCUACAAAGGAAAAUGUUCUGAGCUUGUUACAGCUUAUCAGACUCUUCAGAGGGAGAAGAAAAAGCUACAAGGUAUAUUAAGUCAGAGUCAGGAUAAAGCACUUCGGAGGAUUGGAGAGUUAAGAGAGGAGCUCCAAAUGGACCAGCAAGCAAAAAAACAUCUCCAAGAGGAGUUCGAUGCAUCUUUAGAGGAAAAAGAUCAGUAUAUCAGUGUCCUUCAGACUCAGGUGUCUUUGCUGAAACAGCGGUUACGAAAUGGCCCGAUGAAUGCUGAUUUACCAAAACCACUCUCGCAGAUGGAACCAGAGGCUGAAGGCGUCACUAAAGAGAACACAGAUGGUGAUGUAGAGCCAGUAGUGGGAGAUGGAGCUUCUGCUAAAACACUGGAAAUACUUCAGCAAAGGGUUAAGCGUCAAGAGAAUCUACUGCAGCGCUGUAAGGAAACCAUUCGGUCGCAUAAGGAACAAUGUGUGCUGUUAACCAGUGAAAAAGAAGCCCUGCAAGAACAACUAGAUGAAAGACUUCAAGAACUAGAAAAGAUGAAGGAGCUUCAUAUGGCUGAGAAGACUAAACUUAUCACUCAGUUGCGUGAUGCAAAGAACUUAAUUGAACAGCUUGAACAAGAUAAGGGGAUGGUAAUAGCAGAGACAAAACGUCAGAUGCAUGAAACCCUGGAAAUCAAAGAAGAAGAAAUUGCCCAACUUCGUAGUCACAUCAAGCAGAUGACUAGCCAGGGAGAGGAAUUACGGGAACAGAAAGAAAAAUCUGAAAGAGCUGCUUUUGAGGAACUUGAAAAAGCCUUGAGUACAGCCCAAAAAACAGAAGAAGCACGGAGAAAAAUGAAAGCAGAAAUGGAGGAGCAAAUAAAAGCCAUUGAAAAAACAAGUGAGGAGGAGCGUAACAGACUUCAACAAGAAUUAGGCCACGUGAAACAGGAGGUUGUUCAUGUAAUGAAAAAAUCCUCAGAAGAAAUUGCAAAAUUACAGAAGCUUCAUGAAGAGGAGCUGGCCAGCAAAGAGCAGGAACUGACUAAGAAGUUUCAGACCCAAGAAAGGGAAUUUCAGGAGCAAAUGAAAGUAGCUCUUGAAAAAAGUCAGUCUGAAUAUUUGAAGAUCACUCAAGAAAAAGAAGAGCAAGAAUCUUUGGCCUUGGAAGAGUUAGAGCUGCAGAAGAAGGCAAUCCUCACAGAGAGCGAAAACAAACUUUGGGACCUUCAGCAAGAAGCAGAGACUUACAGAACUAGAAUUCUUGAAUUAGAAAGUUCUUUGGAAAAACGCUUGCAAGAGAAUAAAAAUCAGUCAGAAGAUUUAACUGUUCAUUUGGAAGCUGAAAAAAAUAAACACAAUAAAGAAAUUACAGUCAUGGUUGAAAAACACAAGACAGAAUUGGAAAGUCUGCAGCAUCAGCAGGAUAACCUUUGGACUGAAAAACUCCAAGUCUUAAAGCAACAGCAUCAGACUGAAAUGGAAAAACUUAGAGAAAAGUAUGAACAAGAAAAAGUAACACUGUUGAAUGACAGAGAGGUUCUCUUUCAGGCCCACAUAGAAGAGAUGAAUGAAAAGACUUUAGAAAAGCUUGAUGUGAAGCAAACAGAACUGGAAUCACUAUCGUCUGAACUGUCAGAAGUAUUAAAAGCCCGUGACAAGCUAGAAGAAGAACUUUCUGUACUAAAGGAUCAAGCAGAUAGAGUGAAGCGGGAAUUAGAGGCCAAGCUGGAUGAACAGAAAAGUCAUCACCAGCAACAGGUUGACAGCAUCAUUAAAGAACAAGAGAUGUCUAUCCAGAGAACUGAGAAGGCAUUAAAAGAUGAAAUUAACCAACUUGGGCUUCUUCUGAAAGAAAAGGACAAGCAUUUAAAAGAGCAUCAGGCUCAUGUGGAGAAUUUAGAGGCAGAUGUUAAAAGGUCUGAAGGGGAACUCCAGCAGGCGUCUGCUAAGCUGGAGCUCUUUCAGUCACUGCAGAGCACCUUGCAUGAGCAGGUAGAAACAUAUGAGGAGCAGUUGGCCCAGUUGCAGCAGAAGUUGUUGGAUUCGGAAACAGAAAGAAUUCUUCUUACCAAACAGGUAGCUGAAGUUGUCACUCAAAAGAAAGAUGUUUGUGCUGAGUUAGAUGCUCACAAAAUCAAGGUACAGGACAUAAUGCAGCAACUUGAAAAACAGAAUAGUGAAAUGGAAGAAAAAGUAAAAUCUUUAACCCAACACUAUGAGUCCCAACUUAAAGAUAAUAUAGAGCAGGAACAGACAAAGCAACUCUUAAUGGAAAAGGAAAAUGUAAUUUUACAAAUGAAAGAAGGACAGAGCAAAGAAAUUGAAAUACUCAAACAGAAAUUAUCAGCCAAGGAGGACAGUAUUCAUGUUUUGCAAGAGGAGUAUGAAACCAAAUUUAAAAGUCAAGAGAAAAAGAUAGAAAAAAUUAAGCAGAAAGCAAAGGAGAUGCAAGAAACGUUAAAGAAGAAACUGUUGGAUCAGGAAGCCAAACUUAAGAAAGAGCUCGAAAAUACUGCUCUGGAGCUCAGUCAGAAAGAAAAACAGUUCAAUGCCAAAAUUUUGGAAAUGGCACAGGCUAACUCAGCUGGAAUCAAUGAUGCAGUGUCAAGAUUGGAGACAAACCAAAAGGAGCAAAUAGAAAGUCUUACUGAGGUGCACAGGAGAGAACUCAAUGAUGUCAUAGCAGUCUGGGAGCAGAAACUUAACCAGCGAGCUGAAGAACUUCAGGAAAAACAUGAAAUCCAGUUACAGGAAAAAGAACAAGAGGUAGCAGAACUGAAGCAAAAGAUUCUCAUAUUUGGGUGUGAAAAAGAAGAGAUGAACAAGGAAAUGGCAUGGCUGAAGGAAGAGGGUGCUAAGCAGGAUACAGUGUUGAAGGAAUUACAGGAACAGUUAAACCAGAAGGCUGCUCACAUGGUUUCUGCCUCACAGAAUGAAGCUAAACUGAAAGCUGAACUUGAAAAGCUGGAGGUUGACCUGAAUCACUCUCAGAAGGAAAAUACUUUUCUUCAAGAGCAUGUAGUUGAACUGAAGAUGCUGGCAGAAAAAGAUAAGCUUAAGGUCUCUGAGUUGACUGAGAAGCUGAAAACCACAGAUGAAGAAUUCCAGAGUUUGAAAUCUUCAUAUGACAGAAAUAAGAAAAGCCUAGAAGACAAAAGCUUAGAAUUCAAAAAACUGUCCGAGGAGCUAGCAGUUCAGCUGGACAUUUACUCCAAGAAAGCGGAAGCCUUAUUACAAGCUAAAACAAGUGAGCUCAUCAACAUUAGUAGCAGUAAAAUUAAUGCCGUUCUCUCUAGGGUCUCCCAUUGUCAACACCACACAACUAAAGUUAAGGAGGCACUACUAAGUAAAACUUGCAAAGUUUCUGAAUUAGAAGCACAACUGAGACAGCUAACAGCAGAGCAGUACACACUAAAUAGUUCUUUACAACAUGCUGCACAUCAGUUGGAAGAAAAAGAAAGUCAGAUUAAGAGCAUGAAGGCUGAUAUUGAAGGUCUUGUGACAGAAAAAGAAGCCUUACAGAAGGAAGGAGGAAAUCAGCAACAGGCUGCCUCAGAAAAGGAGUCUUGCAUCACUCAGUUGAAGAAGGAGUUAUCAGAAAACAUCAACGCUGUCACUUCGAUGAAAGAAGAACUUAAAGAAAAAAAAGCUGAGAUCAGUAGUCUUAGUAAACAGCUAACUGAUAUGAGUGCUCAACUUCAGAACAGCAUCAGCCUAACUGAAAACGAAGCAGCCAUUUCAUCACUAAGUAAGCAACAUGAUGAAGCGCAACAGGAAUUGCUGGAUCAGGUGCGAGAUUUAUCUUUGAAAGUUGAAACUCUGAGUAGGGAGAAAACUUCUGCUCUUGAACAGGCCAACAAAUUCUCAGAGUGGAAGAAGAAAGCACAGUCAAGAUUUACACAGUAUCAAAAUACUAGUAAAGAAUUGCAGAUGCAGCUUGAGUUAAAAACAAAGGAAACCAGUGAAAAGGAUGAGCAGAUAACUUUAUUGAAGGAGGACCUUGAUCAGCAAAAGAAGAGAUUUGAAUAUUUUAAGGGAGAAGUGGAAGAUAAGAAGAGCAAGAUGGAGAAAAAGGAACGUAAUUUACAGACUGAGUUAAAAACUCAAACAGCAAGAAUUGUGGAAUUAGAGGAGCAUGUUACUCAGAAAACAGUUGAAAUUGAGUCCUUAAAUGAAGUUCUUAAAAAUUACAAUCAACAAAAGGAUAUCGAACGGAAAGAAAUGAUUCAGAAACUUCAACACAUUCAAGAGUUAGGAGAAGAAAAGGACAACAGGGUUAAAGAGGCUGAAGAAAAAGUCUUAAGCCUUGAAAAGCAAGCAUCUUCCAUGAAAUCUGAACUUGAAUCUAUGAAGAAAGAAUUGGAACAUGUGAAUUCAAUUGUGAAAAGCAAAGAAGAGGAGUUAAAGGCAUUGGAAGAUAGACUUGAGUUAGAAAGUGCUGCAAAAUUAGGGGAACUGAAGAAAAAAGCUGAACAAAAAAUUGCUGCCAUCAAGAAGCAGUUGUUAUCUCAAAUGGAAGAGAAAGAACAGCAGUAUAGAAGAGACAGAGAAAGCCAUCUGAGUGAACUAAAUACAAAAUUGCAGGAAAGAGAGAAAGAAAUUCAUGUCUUGGAAGAAAAACUUAAGUCGGUGGGAAGUUCACCACAAUCAGAAACAUCAGUUGCACCCAGAUCGGCAGAAAAUGAGGCAGCAUGUACUGAGCAAGAAGCAGCAGAAUCCCAAGGCUGUGUGCAGAAGGCAUGUGAAGAAAAAAUCCGUGUUUUACAAAGAAAUUUAAUUGAAAAGGAAAAGCUGUUGCAGAGGCUAGAGCAGGAAAAAGAAGGCACAAUUUCUUCUCAUUCUGAAAUGCAGUGCAAAUACCAGGAGCUCUUAAUAAAGAUAGAACAGGCUGAAGCAAAGCAACAUGAGGAUCAAGUGAUGAUAAAGCAUCUUCAAGAAGAACUUGAAGAAAAAACCAAAUACUCCUUGUUAGUAUCCCAUCAUGUAGAAGAAGAGGGAGGUAAAAAUAACAUAGGGGCAAAGCAGAACUUGGAGAAUGUGGUUGAUGGUGUCCAGAAAGCCCUCCAGGAGAAGGAUUUGACCUGUCAGAUCUUGGAGCAAAAGAUAAAAGAGCUGGAUUCCUGCUUAUUGAGAGAGAGGGAAGGACAUAGAGUUGAAAUUGAAGCGUUGACCUCAAAACUUGAAAGAUUACAGGCUCUACAACAACAGAUGGAUGGAAAAAGUAAACCCAUGGAAGUUUUGGAAGAAAGUGCUGAAGAAAAGUCCAAAUCUCAUGUGGUCCAACCCAGCUUGCUUAGUAACACGGAGGCUGAGCACAAUGACCUGGAGUUUAAAUUGGCAGGGACGGAGCAGGAGAAGCAGAAGCUGAGCCAGGAGGUGGUUAAACUGCAGAAAGAUCUUCGAAUGUUGCGGAAGGAACAUCAGCAAGAACUAGAUAUCAUAAAGAAAGAGUAUGAACAAGAAAUGGAAGAGAAAAUCAAACAGGAGCAGGAAGAUCUUGAGUUGAAGCACAAUUCCACACUAAAACAGCUGGUGAGGGAGUUUCAUACACAGCUGGCACAAAAGGAACAGGAGCUGGAACUGACCAUAAAAGAGACCAUUGAUAAAGCCCAGGAAGUGGAGGCUGAACUUUUGGAAAGCCAUCAAGAGGAGACAAAUCAGUUAUAUAAAAAAAUUGUAGAGAAAGAAGAUGAUCUAAAAAGAACAGCCAAAAGAUAUGAAGAAAUCCUUGAUGCUCGUGAAGAAGAAAUGACUGCAAAAGUAAUAGAUCUACAGACUCAACUUGAGGAGCUGCAGAAGAAAUACCAGCAAAGGCUAGAGCAGGAGGAGAACCCUGGCAAUGAUAAAGUAACAAUUAUGGAGCUACAGACACAACUAGCACAGAAGACUACUCUAAUCAGUGAUUCAAAGUUGAAAGAGCAAGAGUUCAGAGAACAGAUUCACAAUUUAGAAGAUCGUUUGAAGGAAUAUGAAAAGAAUGUAUAUGCAACAACUGUGGGGACACCUUACAAAGGUCGCAGUUUGUACCAUACUGAUGUCUCGCUCUUUGGAGAACCUACUGAGUUUGAGUAUUUGCGAAAAGUGCUUUUUGAGUAUAUGAUGGGUCGUGAGACUAAGACCAUGGCAAAGGUUAUAACCACUGUACUGAAGUUCCCUGAUGAUCAGACUCAGAAAAUUUUGGAAAGAGAAGAUGCUCGGCUCAUGGUAAGCUUAAAGAAUAGGCUACAAAUAGAAGACAACUUUAUCUCAUCCGUUUACAUUCUGUCUCAUUUACAGAGACUUUGAGUUGUAUACUUCACCUCGCAGUGGUAUCUUCUGAGUAAACCGUCAGUCUGUGCUUAGUUAGCAUGUGUCAUGGCUCCGGCCUUCAUCUUGAAGAAGUGGGGAGAGUGAUGCUGGGCAGGCCUGGAAAACUGUGCACGUUUGCUGUUCUUAGAGAACGAAGCUGUUAUUCAGGGCCCCUCAUGUAGCCAGAAGACCAAGAAAAAUCUGACAUUGGCCACAGAAAGAUUGCAGACUGCCUUUAAAAUAGAUUAUAUCAAUGGAGAAACGGUGAUAGUUUUUUGGGGGGGGAUUCUUCAGUUUUUCUGUUGGGAAGAGUUUUGUGUUGUUUAAAAGAUACUUUGAAUAACUUAACCUGAUUUAUGGGCUCAUUUAAUGUUCCUUUCUUCCAUUCUUUUUGUCCCUCUUUUUAAAGAACUGCUUGCCUUUCCUAUUUAUUUUUAGGGUGAUUUUUUUAAAAGACUUGUGCAAUACAUUUUGAGGUGGAACUUAGUGGACUUUUUCCUGAUACAUUAGAGCAUUUAAUUGACUAUUUUAUCCAGAUUGAUUUGUUGAAUAUUUGCUAAAGACUAGUUCUUUAAGCUAUGACAUAUGAUAAAUCCAAAUGGCAGUACCUCAUUGUUUACUUAGCUUUUGUACUUAUAUUUUUCAGAGGAAAAAAUACUACUGUAAAUUGUAAAUAGUCAAUACAUAACUGUAUCGUAUGCAAAUCUGUGACUGUUGGCAAUGUCAUCUCAGAAGAACAGAUAAAUAAAGUUUAUUUACUAUAUAAAA